GUGUAUAUGUGUGUGUGUGAUUUGUGUGUGUGUGUAAUGUGUGUGUGUGUGUGUGUGUGUGAUGUGUGUGAUAUGUGAUGUGUGUGUGUGUGAUAUAUGUGUGAUGUGUGUGUGAUAUGUGUGUGCGUAUCUCUGUGUGUGUGAGAGAUGUGAUGUCUGUGUGAUUUUUGUGUAUAUGUGUGUGUGUGAUUUGUGUGUGUGUGUAAUGUGUGUGUGUGUGUGUG
rnacentral:lncRNA from 1 species